GAGGAAAGUCCGGGCUCCAUAGGGCAGGGUGCCAGGUAACGCCUGGGGGGGAAACCCACGACCAGUGCAACAGAGAGCAAACCGCCGAUGGCCCGCGCAAGCGGGAUCAGGUAAGGGUGAAAGGGUGCGGUAAGAGCGCACCGCGCGGCUGGUAACAGUCCGUGGCACGGUAAACUCCACCCGGAGCAAGGCCAAAUAGGGGUUCACAUGGUACGGCCCGUACUGAACCCGGGUAGGCUGCUUGAGCCAGUGAGCGAUUGCUGGCCUAGAUGAAUGACUGUCCACGACAGAACCCGGCUUA
rnacentral:RNase_P_RNA from 2 species